AUGUCGUCCAGGUUCGCCGGUGUAUCCGUCUUGGCCGGCGGCGAGCUGUGCCCUUCCACAGCAUCGUCCUUCCUCACCAGCACGGACUGGGGGUACCACCUGCUUGUGGUCCAAGACUACUCGCAUACCAAGCAAGCCACUCCCACCAUCGAGUGGAUCAGCUCUCGUCCUUUCAUGGUAGGAGGCCAUAAAUGGUGCAUCGACUACUUUCCUAACGGCUACACGGAGAGUUGUGCCGACUUCAGGCUGGUUGUAAUUGGUAGUAUCAUAAUGGAACCGGGGCAGGAGUCCUUUUCCUCUAAAAAAAAGUUCAAUGUCAGUUUCAUCGACGAGGCGGAGAAGUGCAAGCCAAUGUACAUUUCGGAAACUGGAACAUUCAAUUCCCACUCUGAGUCCAUGAUGGGCUACAACAUGUUCAUGAAAAAAGAUGUCCUUGAACAAUCAUCGCAUCUAAUGAAUGAUUGUUUCACCAUCCAGUGUGACAUCAUGUUGUUCAGCUCCAAGGAUGCCGGUGGCGAUAAGGUGCCCCUGCCUGAAAUAGACCAACAUUUAAACAAUAUCCUUCAAACUAAGGUGGGUGCUGAUGUGACAUUUGAGGUCAGCGGCGAGAUGUUCGCUGCACACCGAGGUGUGCUUGCAGCCCGAUCUAAACUUUUAAUGGCACAACUCUUUGGCCCCAUGAAGGAGGGCACUACUACAUCCUGUGUCAUACAGAUCAAAGACAUGGGAGCAAAAGUGUUCAGGGCUCUGCUUAGCUUCAUCUACACAGACUGA
rnacentral:rRNA from 1 species